AGGCACUCCUGCUUUCGCCGGCUGUUGCAUUUUCCAAGACCACUGUGGCCCACCAUGCCCCCGUCCUGGGCCUAUAAAAACCGGAGUCCCUAGCACAACAGAGACACAAGCCGCUGGACGUAGAGAGGAGCACAUUGGCGGAAGAAGGCGCAAGCGGCUGAUUGUGGAGAGGGCCUCCAGAGGAGAGCGCGGGCAGAAGAGCAGGACAGGCACCCGCUGGCCGGGAGGUCAUUGACUGGCAGAACGACGCGGAAUUUGGCUGGAGCAGUCGGAGGAGAGCCCAGGACGCCCAGCAGCCCGACUCCAGAACAAAACCAUCUCCCUUCUGGCUCCCCCAUCUGCAUCCUUGCUGAGCCUUACUUCUACUCAACAAAGCCUUACACAUUCUCGCAGCCCACGUGUGAUCCGAUUCUUCUGGUACACCAAGAUCCCCUGUCGGCAUUUCUGUCUUCUUUUCUGAGCUCAGGAAGCUGACCUCUGCAGAUUGCAUCAAGUGGGUCUGAGACCCCUUUCCUUUGGCUUUCUUGCGGUUUCAGCCAAUGACAACCACUGUAGCAGAGCAGAGGGGGACUCAUUCUGCUGAAAGCCACAGCUCCUAUCCGGUGGUCUUAGAGCUUGGUAGGUCCUGUAACUACCUGCAUCCUUGCUUGUAGGUUUAAGGGUGGCAGUCACUUCCCUUUUGCUAGCCCCAGAGGGGCUUUACAGAGUCUUGGUUUCCUUGCCCUUACUUUCAUAUAACCUCCUUUUAUUUAAAAAAACUGUUUAAUUAUCACAUUUGAGUGUCUUCUUUUUCUGGCACAUGCAGCUAUGUAGAUUAAAGGGGUAACUGUACUUUAAAAAAAAUCAAUAAAUCAGACUUUUCAUUACUUCGUCUGGUCUCUUCCUUAUCCCUUUGGUCCAAAUGUAUUAUGCAGUAUUGAAAUAUGGUGGUAAUUCAUGAGGGCUAAUAAUCUCAUGUAUUGAGUACUUAGGUGCUAGAGUUUGGCAUGCAUUGUCUCAUUUAAUCUUUAUUAUUACC
rnacentral:lncRNA from 10 species